rnacentral:rRNA from 1 species
GCACAGGUGCUGCAUGGCUGUCGUCAGCUCGUGUCGUGAGAUGUUCGGUUAAGUCCGCUAACGAGCGCAACCCUCGCUGUGUGUUAUAUGUGUCACACGGGACUGCCGGUCUUAAGCUGGAGGAAGGUGGGGAUGAUGUCAAGUCAGCAUGGCCUUUAUAUCCUGGGCUACACACACGCUACAAUGGCCAACACAAUAGGUUGCUAAGCCGCGAGGUGGCGCCAAUCCAUAAAGUUGGUCUCAGUUCAGAUUGUAGGCUGCAACCCGCCUGCAUGAAGAUGGAGUUGCUAGUAACCGCAGGUCAGCUAUACUGCGGUGAAUACGUUCCCGGGGCUU